rnacentral:lncRNA from 1 species
GAACGGUGGAAGGACACGAAAAGGAGUGCCCUCGGCCGGGCGGAGGGACACCGCGCCGGGGCGGCCGCGCGUUCCGCCGCGCCGUGGGUGGGGGGAGCGUGCACUCACCGGGCCACUGGCUUCCGGGUGUCCGCCGCCGUCCCCGGGGCACCCACCGUGUGCCUGCCCGGCUGGCCGACGCGCCGCUCCUUCCGCUUCCCUCGCUCGUGGGGCAGCGCCGGCGCCCGAGGUGCAGCCGCACCCCCGCCCGGGACCUUGGGCAGGUGCGGGAGAGGCCGAGGGUCGCGCGCUCCGGGCGCUGAGCUGUGGGAAGGGGGCGAAGCACCGCCCUGAGUCCUGCGGUCCGAUAACACUGGCUACAAAAUAACAGUACUGAGACUCACACGUACACAGCCUUCGCCGGGUGGUGGGCGCCGUGCUCAGGGCUUUGGACUCUUCGCAACAGCCCUCAGCGGGUGGGAACGUGGUGCUUCUCCCCUACAUGCAGGGAAACAGGUUAGGCGACCCCUAGGAGAGCUCGUCUGGGGGACUCCGGAUCUGUGGCCACAGAAGUCAGGUGCUCAGAGCUGGGGCCUGCAAGUGGCCCCUUGGGCAGUGGAGGCACGAACAGUGGGUUGCAGUAUGUUAGGGGAAAGGGGUGGUUAGGAAAUGUGGGAGCUGUAAGUGCAAAGGCCUGGUGGGGGGGAGGCUCCGGCGUUUCCAGGGCAGGUGGAUAGAUGGAUUCCAGGAAUCCGUUCUUGCCUUGGUUUCCCUUGUAUCCCGAGGGUCUGGCACAGAAUGGGCGCACCAUAAAGGAUGAUUCACUGGAGACUGUGGUCCAACUAACACCCAUACACGUGCUGACCUCAUUCACCCUCCUUGACCUUGGGUAGUAGACAUGAUGCUUAUGAUUCCUUUCACAGAUGAGAAACUGAGGCACAGUGAUUUGCCAAGAGUGUGUAUGUAACAGGCAGCCAGGGGUCUAGAUCUUCCAAACCAAAGUUCCUCCCACUGCUGGCACCUGCUUUCUGCCCUUCCCCCUCUAGAAGCCAGCUGGGGUUGAGGGGAGAGUGUGGGUGGAGCCUCACCACCCCUCAACCAAACCAGACCCAGGCACACAGCUUGGGUCUUACUGGAUAAGAAUUCACCUUGCCCUGUUC